CACGUAGGGGACGAGCGUUGUCCGGAUUCAUUGGGCGUAAAGCGCGCGUAGGCGGCUCGGAAAGUCGGUCGUGAAAUGCCGGGGCUCAACCCCGGGACUGCGUCCGAUACUCCCGAGCUGGAGGCAGGUAGGGGAGAUCGGAAUUCCUGGUGUAGCGGUGAAAUGCGCAGAUAUCAGGAGGAACACUGAUGGCGAAGGCAGGUCUCUGGGCUGUAACUGACGCUGAGGAGCGAAAGCAUGGGGAGCGAACAGG
rnacentral:rRNA from 1 species